GAUGAACGCUAGCUACAGGCUUAACACAUGCAAGUCGAGGGGAAACGAUAUUGGAAGCUUGCUUCUGAUAGGCGUCGACCGGCGCACGGGUGAGUAACGCGUAUCCAACCUGCCCAUCACUUGGGGAUAACCUUGUGAAAGUAAGACUAAUACCCAAUGACGUCUCUAGAAGACAUCUGAAAGAGAUUAAAGAUUUAUCGGUGAUGGAUGGGGAUGCGUCUGAUUAGCUUGUUGGCGGGGUAACGGCCCACCAAGGCGACGAUCAGUAGGGGUUCUGAGAGGAAGGUCCCCCCACAUUGGAACUGAGACACGGUCCAAACUCCUACGGGAGGCAGCAGUGAGGAAUAUUGGUCAAUGGACGAGAGUCUGAACCAGCCAAGUAGCGUGCAGGAUGACGGCCCUAUGGGUUGUAAACUGCUUUUAUAAGGGAAUAAAGUGGGAGUCGUGACUCUUUUGCAUGUACCUUAUGAAUAAGGACCGGCUAAUUCCGU
rnacentral:rRNA from 1 species